rnacentral:rRNA from 1 species
AGGACAACGCUGGCGGCGUGCCUAACACAUGCAAGUCGAGCGGAGAUAGACUGAUGGUAACUGAAGCUUAUCUUAGCGGCGGACGGGUGAGUAACACGUGGGCAACCUGCCUUGGAGUGGGGGAUAACACCGGGAAAUCGGUGCUAAUACCGCAUAACAUACACAAACUGCAUGGUAAGUGUAUCAAAGGAGUAAUCCGCUUUAAGAUGGGCCCGCGGCUGAUUAGCUAGUUGGUAAGGUAACGGCUUACCAAGGCGACGAUCAGUAGCCGACCUGAGAGGGUGACCGGCCACACUGGAACUGAGACACGGUCCAGACUCCUACGGGAGGCAGCAGUGGGGAAUAUUGCGCAAUGGGGGGAACCCUGACGCAGCAACGCCGCGUGGAGGAAGAAGGUCUUCGGAUUGUAAACUCCUGUCUUCUGGGACGAAGUAUGACGGUACCAGAGGAGGAAGCCACGGCUAACUACGUG